rnacentral:rRNA from 1 species
GACGAACCGUGCGAACGUUAUUCGGAAUCACUGGGCUUAAAGGGCGCGUAGGCGGGCAACCAAGUCCGGGGUGAAAUCCUCCAGCUCAACUGGAGAAGUGCCUCGGAUACUGGCUGCCUCGAGGAAGGUAGGGGCAUCUGGAACUAGCGGUGGAGCGGUGAAAUGCGUUGAUAUCGCUAGGAACUCCGGUGGCGAAGGCGAGGUGCUGGACCCUUUCUGACGCUGAGGCGCGAAAGCCAGGGGAGCGAACGGG